AUGCCGCGAUACCUACCACUUACUUUAUCAUGCCUCCCAUUUUGCCAUGUCAAGCCUCUAACCCACCUUGUCCUAGCAAACCGUUGUUUGGCUAUGUUACCGCUUUGCUCAGCCCCUCUUAUAGUGUUGCUAGUUGCAGGUGAAGCUGGAGUUUGUUCCAUGUUUGAACAUGUUUAUUGUUGGGAUAUCACAAUAUCUCUUAUUUUAAUUAAUGCAUCUAUAUACUUGGUGAAGGGUGGAAGGCUCGGCCUUAUGCCUGGUGUUUUGUUCCACACUUGCCGCCCUAGUUUCCGUCAUACCGGUGUUAUGUUCCUUGGUUAUGAGUUCCUUACGCGAUUGGGGUUAUAA
rnacentral:rRNA from 1 species